AGCAGGGUGGCUCAGUGGAAAGAGCAUGGGUUUAGGAGUUUGUGGGUUCUAAUCCCGGCUCUGCUA
rnacentral:tRNA from 1 species